GCCUAAGAUCAAGCCUAUAAACCUCUCAUGAACUAUCAUAUUUAUGAACACAUAAUAAAACAUUUUUACACUCUAGUAGAGGCGAUCAAAAGACUUAUAAGCGCUUCACAUAUGUACCGCAAGGGAAUGAUGAAAUAGAUUUGAAACAGCCCCAAAUGCACAAAAUAGUAGAGACUACACCUCG
rnacentral:rRNA from 1 species